rnacentral:rRNA from 1 species
UAGGGAAUCUUCGGCAAUGGACGAAAGUCUGACCGAGCAACGCCGCGUGAGUGAAGAAGGUUUUCGGAUCGUAAAACUCUGUUGUUAGAGAAGAACAAUGACGUUAGUAACUGAACGUCCCCUGACGGUAUCUAACCAGAAAGCCACGGCUAACUACGUGCCAGCAGCCGCGGUAAUACGUAGGUGGCAAGCGUUGUCCGGAUUUAUUGGGCGUAAAGCGAGCGCAGGCGGUUUCUUAAGUCUGAUGUGAAAGCCCCCGGCUCAACCGGGGAGGGUCAUUGGAAACUGGGAGACUUGAGUGGAGAAGAGGAGAGUGGAAUUCCAUGUGUAGCGGUGAAGUGCGUAGAUAUAAGGAGGAACAACAGUGGCGAAGGCGGCUCUCUGGUCUGUAACUGACGCUGAGGCUCGAAAGAGUGGGGAGCAAACAGG